rnacentral:rRNA from 1 species
CCUACGGGAGGCAGCAGUGAGGAAUAUUGGUCAAUGGCCGGAAGGCUGAACCAGCCAAGCCGCGUGAAGGACGAAGGUGCCAAGCAUUGUAAACUUCUUUUGUCAAGGGACAAAAUCAGGCUCGAGAGCCUGACCGAGGGUACUUGAAGAAAAAGCAUCGGCUAACUCCGUGCCAGCAGCCGCGGUAAUACGGAGGAUGCGAGCGUUAUCCGGAUUUAUUGGGUUUAAAGGGUGCGUAGGCGGGCUGUUAAGUCAGCGGUAAAAGCCCGGGGCUCAACCCCGGCGAGCCGUUGAAACUGGCUGUCGUGAGAUGUCGAGAGGUAUGCGGAAUGCGCAGUGUAGCGGUGAAAUGCUUAGAUAGUGCGCAGAACUCCGAUUGCGAAGGCAGCAUACCGGCGGCGAUCGGACGCUGAGGCACGAAAGCGUGGGUAUCGAACAGGAUUAGAUACCCCAGUAGUC